UACGUAGGGUGCGAGCGUUGUCCGGAAUUAUUGGGCGUAAAGAGCUCGUAGGCGGUGUGUCACGUCGUUCGUGAAAACCUGCAGCUUAACUGUGGGCGUGCGGUCGAUACGGGCAUCACUGGAGUUCGGCAGGGGAGACUGGAAUUCCUGGUGUAGCGGUGAAAUGCGCAGAUAUCAGGAGGAACACCGGUGGCGAAGGCGACAUCCUGGACCGGUAUUGACGCUGAGGCGCGAAAGCCAGGGGAGCAAACGGG
rnacentral:rRNA from 1 species